rnacentral:rRNA from 1 species
UGAGGAAUAUUGGUCAAUGGCCGAGAGGCUGAACCAGCCAAGUCGCGUGAAGGAUGAAGGAUCUAUGGUUUGUAAACUUCUUUUAUACGGGAAUAAAGUGAGCCACGAGUGGCUUUUUGUAUGUACCGUAUGAAUAAGCAUCGGCUAACUCCGUGCCAGCAGCCGCGGUAAUACGGAGGAUGCGAGCGUUAUCCGGAUUUAUUGGGUUUAAAGGGUGCGUAGGUGGUUUCUUAAGUCAGCGGUGAAAGUUUGUGGCUUAACCAUAAAAUUGCCAUUGAUACUGGGAGACUUGAGUAUGU